GGUCUCUUUCGUCCUGACCACGGCACAUUCUAACCCUAUUUACACUCAAGACGUCUGUCUUGCUUCCCGUCUUCCAUCCUAUCUUGCUGUUCUCAUACUUCCAGCUCUCAGUAAGUGGGGGACGGGCUCAUUUGCACAAAAGAGCGGAUUUUCGGGGUCAGGCGAGAGAGCCAAGGCCGUAAGUGCAGGAGGACACGCUAGCCGGGGGACACUGAGCCCUGAGCCGCCCCUCCCAUCCAGGCACCCUGGCCGCGGGUCUCCACGCUCGCACGCCGGGAGUAAGGGUUCGCCCUGCCGCCUGGGAGGCGGUGGCACGUUGGCUUGGCGUCCAACCUUCAGUAACCAGAUAAAAUGGAAAAUUCGGCGCCGACCUUUUCUCUGAAAAUUUGGAGUAAAGGAUUUGCCAAUUUUCCUACAUAA
rnacentral:telomerase_RNA from 1 species